rnacentral:rRNA from 1 species
AUACGUAGGGGGCGAGCGUUGUCCGGAAUGAUUGGGCGUAAAGGGCGCGUAGGCGGCGCGGUAAGUCUGGAGUGAAAGUCCUGCUCUCAAGGGGGGAAUUGCUUUGGAUACUGCCGCGCUUGAGUGCAGGAGAGGUUAUCGGAAUUCCCGGUGUAGCGGUGAAAUGCGUAGAGAUCGGGAGGAACACCAGUGGCGAAGGCGGGUAACUGGACUGCAACUGACGCUGAGGCGCGAAAGUGUGGGGAGCAAACAGGAUUAGAUACCCUGGUAGUCCACACUGUAAACGAUGAAUGCUAGGUGUAAGAGGUAUCGACCCCUUUUGUGCCGGAGUCAACACAAUAAGCAUUCCGCCUGGGGAGUACGGCCGCAAGGUUGAAACUCAAAUGAAUUGACGGGG